UUCCAGACUCCUACGGGAGGCAGCAGUGGGGGAUAUUGCACAAUGGGGGGAACCCUGAUGCAGCGACGCCGCGUGGGCGAUGGAGUACUUCGGUAUGUAAAGCCCUAUCAGCAGGGAAGAAAAUGACGGUACCUGACUAAGAAGCCCCGGCUAACUACGUGCCAGCAGCCGCGGUAAUACGUAGGGGGCAAGCGUUAUCCGGAUUUACUGGGUGUAAAGGGUGCGUAGGUGGCAUGGCAAGUCAGAAGUGAAAGCCCGGGGCUCAACCCCGCGGACUGCUUUUGAAACUGUCAGGCUGGAGUACAGGAGAGGUAAGCGGAAUUCCUAGUGUAGCGGUGAAAUGCGUAGAUAUUAGGAGGAACACCAGUGGCGAAGGCGGCUUACUGGACUGUAACUGACACUGAGGCACGAAAGCGUGGGGAGCAAACAGGAUUAGAUACCCCAGUACG
rnacentral:rRNA from 1 species